UUCAAACUUAUUUAUGACAGCUGUGUUAACUUUACAAGUUUACUAGCUAAUUUGGAAGAUACAAGUGUGUGUUGUUAUGACCAAUACAUCUAUCAAUGGACAAUGGUCCCACUUUAGUCUCAAAGCAAUCCUAGUCAAGAUUUGAAAUCUCUCUCUCUCUCUCUCUCUCUCUCUCUCUCUCUCUCUCUCUCUCUCUCUCUCUCUCUCUCUCUCUCUCUCUCUCUCUCCCAAAUAUUAUAUAUAUAGACACACAUAACAACCCUUUUAGCUACAAUAAGAUUGUUCAUUUCUCAAAAUCUUGAAGUAGAAAAUGGAGGGUAAAGGGAAGAGUGGAGAGAAGAAAGAGAAAAACAUGAUUCCACCAAGAAGGGGUCAAAUUAAAGAGAAGAUUUUUGAAGAAUUGGGAGAGAAGAUUCUCAACAUGACAUUUGGUGGGGGAGGAGAUGCAAAAAAGAAUCAAGUCUUUCCAUCUUCAAAAGAUUAUAUUUUUGACCCUCCAACAAAGAGAUGAAGCAUGGAUCGAUGGUGGAAUCAUUGAACAAGCUCUUGCAAAUAAUGGCUUUGGAGAGAGAUGGAUGUAAUCUAAUUGAUGUAUGUGUUGCAUUGAGAAGUUUAAGAUAAGAUAGAAGUUCAUAUGUAUUGAUUAUAAUGUUAAAAUAAUUAAUUUAAUUUUGUUAA